UUCAGCCACAAUGUCUUCACUUAGGCGACCCUCCUUCCAGGCGUGCAUUGUCUCCUCUCCAUACUGGAAAAGCUCUGGAUUCUUUAAAUCACCUGGACAAUACCCACAUUGUCAGCACUGAAGAGAUACUUUGAUGAAGACCCCUUCUCCUUCGAUGUGCAAGAUCCCCCUUCUGUUCUUCAAUGGAGCUCGUUGACCUGCACUGCAACUGUGAACUCAAAGCCAAGUUCAGGAAGGGGAGUGGAGAAACAGACAAACUUGGGCAAUUUUUAAGAGAACAGAUACUUUUCACAAUUUUUUCACAAUGGUUCCCGACCCCUUUCAUACGGCAUUUGUCAUGGCCUGGGUUAACAGUGCCCACCCCCAGCACCGUUAACCUGCAGGAGGUUAGUAGAAAUUCAGCUACUGUGUGUCAAAGAAGAGGAGGACAGCGGAUGUGGUUUUUGGUAUUCCCUGGCUCCAAAUUCACAACCCCACAAUAGACUGGACUCAUUUAUGUGUCGCUGGAUGGAGUCCUCAUUUUCAUUCCCACUGCCUGCUUUCUACGUUACACCCUUCAAAGACGCUGUACCUACUUCUGCUUUAAUAGACCUCUCACUCUUUCCACAAGAUUAUCAUGACCUCUCACCAGUAUUCAGUAAGGAUUUUGCAAAUUCUCUAUCCCCACAUCGCCCGUAUGACUGUGCCAUCUUGCUAGGGGGCACACUUCCCUUCAACCGACUGUACAAUCUCAUCCGUCCUGAAAAGAACGCAUCCGUGACUCUGGCAGCUGGCCUCAUACAGCCUUCCAGCCAUGACGCACAUCCUGUCUCUUGGUAUGUGUGGUGGAAUAGAGCAGCUCCCCUAUUGGCUAUCACGUAGCGUCUUCCUGGCAUCACAUCCCUCCAUUGGAGCGACGUCAUUUUUUUGGGGGGGAUGUCCAUCUUUACCUGUGACGUACUUCCUGUAUCUUCGUCACUGAAUCGAUUGUCAUACACUUAAACACACUCACACUGCACAACUUCUUUGCGGAUUUAUUCUUUUUUUUCAACAUGGGCCCCAAGGAAUUGAUGUCCAGUGCCAGUGAGAAAAAGAAGUUAUUUUGUCCAUCAAAACAAAACAAGAAAUUGUCGUGAAAUAUGAAUACGACAGGCAUGCAUGUUGCCUAUUGCUGCUCUUUGAUGGGGUUUUGAGAAGAUUAAAGUGGAGGUUGAACCUGUAGUUUGAGGAAAUUGUUUCGCUGGGAAAGACUGAGGACAUCAACAAGUUGAUUCAGUAGCAUCACAAGGAUCUUUUGAUGGAUAACCUUAAGGCUGGAGGCGAUGCAAGGAUGCAAUUCGGGAGCAGUUUGCGACAUUGAGCUGACUAGCUCGGGCUAUCACUCACUUUGAUGAUGUUUGCCUUGCACACUUUCCCAAGAUUAUUAAAAGCCGUCAAAGGCAAACAUUCUUUGAUUGGUACUUAAUGAAAUAUUGAAAGUCACUUUGUUUGUUUUUAAGUCAUAGUUUCUGGAAUUUAUUCAUUUUAAUGGAAUUAUGUUGUGUGCGUGCCUCCUCCCCACGGUGCUUUGUUACUCACCCUUCUCUUCGCAUCGUUGCUCAACGUGAAAGGUAAAUUAACAGAAUUUUUUACUAUUCUUUACAUUAUGUAGACUUUGAAUGCUUAUUUUCAAGGUAAAUUAACAUCCUUUUGUUUUAGUCUUUACAUUAUGUAAACUUUGAAUGGUUAUUUUUGGCACCGGGUGUGGGGUGUGCUGGGGUCAGGAGGCUUAGAACGGAUGAGCCUAUUUACAUGUAAAAUGCAUUUCUACUUAUGAAAGUUUCAAGUAACAAAACAACUUCCGGUACGGAUUAAUUUCAUAAGUAGAGGUACCACUGUACUUUCCUUCUGUGGAUUGAGUCCACAGAAGCCCAUGAGCCUGCUCAUGGGUUUCUGUGGAUUGAGUCCACAGAAGCACAUGAGCCUGCUCAUGGGUUCUGCUUCUGUGGUUUCUGUGGUGCUUGUGUGGUUUGUUGAUGAAAUAAUAAUAACAUUGACAAUAAUCAACUGGUAUAAAUUAUAUUGCAGUAGAUGGGUGUUUAAAAUAUGAUUUCCUUUUCAUCACAAAACUACUUUGUUGAUGUAGACACAGUUAAGCCACUUUGGCUUACUGUCACUGCCUUUGACCUGACAAGCUGGAAUGUGGCAGGAAUGUUGCUUGGCAGGCCAAUACCUUCUGUCCCUAUCAUGCUUCAAAGUCUGCACAGACCAGCUCACUCAUGAGGUACCAUCCUAUUUCAAACACUCCACCAUCAAUCCAGUUCCCAAGAAACCUGCAAUGUCGGGUCUGAAUGACGACAGGCCUGUCACACCCACAUCUGUGGUCAUGAUCACCCUUCCCAACAAAAUAGGCAAGCUUCAUCUCCUGAUAACUACCAGCAAAGACUUAAAACAUUCCACUGCCUUGUGCUUCACCAAGACUUGGCUGUGGAAACGCAUUCUCGAUGGAGCUAUAGCACUCACCGGCUUCCAUAUUCACCUGAGGGAUUGUAUUGCAAUAGUGACUGGAAAAGGCCGUGGGAUAUCAUUCUACAUCAAUGAGAAAUGGUGGAUGGACUUCACAUGGCUCAUCACACACUACAGCCCGUUUUUGGAGUCGUUGUUCUUGAACUAAGCAUUUUACUUGCUGCAUGAGUGGCAUCCUUGUUGUUGUCUACAUUCUGUAUCAGGCUAGCAUGAACGGAACACUGCUAACAUUCAAGUAAGUCACCAGAUAAGUAAACGAGAUUGACAAACAACACCUAGACUUACCCUUCCUUAUCCGAGUACAUUUUUACAAAGCUAAAUUUAACCACAAACUCCCAAAAUACAAACAGCACCUAAGCAGGGGUUUCAAACUGGUGGACCGGGGGACAUUUCAGCCCACAAAACGAUAAUUUUUGCCUCCCACCUUAAUAUGAAAGUUUAAUGUUCAUGCAACCCUCGAGUUUUUUUUUAUGAAUGGCACUUUUACAGUGUUGUGUGUCGAGCUGACAAACCUACCAAUCACGGUGGGGCAUAUGGCUCUCGGGGAUGAGACAUAGACCGGUGGCUUGAUACAAGCAGAGAAACAUUUUUCAGUGAGUUAAAUUUACAACAAUGAUCCCAUGGAGAGUUGUAAUAGUAGUUUUUCACACGUUUACACCAGUGUCCUUUUUCUUUUUCUCAUUUUGUGUUAAAAAAAUAAGAUAUGUUUAAGAUUAAUUGUGUGCACCUGCAUGUGCAUCUGUGACCCAGCCUCUGCCAGAUUCUGCCUCCAGCAGCUCCAAGGUAAACUGAAUUUGAGACCCCUGAUGUAGACUGUCCAAUGAGGUAAAAUAACACAUUGGACCACUGCUAUGCGACAAUAAAAAAAUGCAUUGUAUCACUGCUUAAUCCACUUGAUACCUACAGUUGUGUUCAAAAUAAUAGCACUCCAAUGUGACAAGCUAAAUCCACCUUUUCAGUAUAUUUUGAUUGUUACAUGUCAAAUAAAUACCAGUAGAUGCAAUAGAUUCUCAGAAAAACAACAACUCCCAGCAGAAAUGAUAUACAUACUCUUAAGGCUGGGCAUUUGGGCAAUUUGUUGAAAGAGGUGUUUUCAUAACUCUAUAGACUCAAAAACUAUUUUGUAAAAAAAAUUUCUUAUAUGAUUUACCAAUCCUUUGAAUCUCUAAACUUAAACUUGAAAAUGUUUAGUUGUAUUAACACUGUUUUUUCUGCUUUACAUUUGUUUUGGAUGGAGUUAACCAACUUGUGGCACCUUUCAGCUGUUAUUCCACUGCAAGAUUCCUGAACGACAUUCCACAAUCCACUUACAUCUUUUGGUUUUGCUUCAGAAUCAGCAUUUUUGAUGUAACCCCUCAACUUCUCAAGGAAGGGCUAGCCAUCCAUGACAUGAAAUUUGUUGGUUGGGAACUAAGACUUUGCAUGUUUACGCGUACAUUUGGGAUCAUUGUCUUGUUGAAAGGGUAUGCCCUCUUUAAACUAAGUUAACAUGACCUCUUCAAGUAUUUUGACAUAUACAAAACGAUUUAUGCGCUCUGGUAUGCAAUAAAUAGGAGGAGAAACAUGCUCAUAUCAUGAUACUUGCACAUCACCAUGCUCCAUUGUCUUCACUGUGUACUCUGGCUUGAGUUCAGAGUUUGGGGGUCCUCUCACAAAUUCUUGGCGGCCCCUGGACAAUUUUUUUUUUUUUUUUACUCUCAGCGGCCCAUUUUUCUUAAGGCCCAAUGAUAUGAACUGUAGCCUCAUCUUCGCAUCCUUUUUUCCAUUUUAUUAUUUGUGGAGAGUGAAUUGCGGGGGAUUAUUGUGAAGAGAUUAGCUUCACCUGGACGUCUUCUCACUGUCACAGUAAUUACAGGUAACUCCAGACUGUCUUUGGUCAACCUGGACCUGAUCAUUGCCUAAGCCUUUGUCCUUCUGGUUAUUCUGCAAUCCAUUUUGAUGGUUGUCUUCCAUUUUCUUCCACGUCUCUGGUUUUGCUCUCCAUCUUAAGGCAUUCGAGAUCAUUUUAGCUGAACAGCCUAUAACGUUUUGCACUUCUUUAUAAAGUUUCCCAUCUACAAUCAAACUUUUAAUCAAUGUACGCUGUUAUUGUUCUGCCCCAAGUGUUUAAUAUGUCAAGAAGAUCGAUUUUAUUAGAAAAGAUCUGUUUGUGUUGUUAAUUUGAGAGUGCAUUGCUGAGCUUUUAUUUUGAAACUGUAGAAUACAGGAAGUAGGAAGCGCUGAGCAGAGCGAAAAACGGUAAAAAAGCAUGUCAACAGUUGAAAGAUGUAGCACGUUGAAAUCAGCUUAUUCCUGUGCAUGAAUCCGUCAGAAAGCAAUGGCUGUGAGUAAUUUAUGUUCUUUACAUGUUUCAGAAGUAUUGUUAGUAACUUUAACAGUAUCUUCAUGCAUAUUUGUGAGCUGCACUGAUUUAGUAACUUUACAUGUUGUGUUCAUUGUCAUGAGAUAGCUAGCAGCAGUAUGUGUAUCUGCUACUCACUUCACUAGAAUGCUGUUGCUGUUUGUGCUUAGACUUACUGAAUGUGAAUGUUUAAUUCAUAUACUAAUGGAAGAUGUUUAUACUCCAUACUGAUUUGACAUUGCAGUCUAUUUAGUAUGUUUUGUAUUUCUUUUUCUAGUUUCACUCCAUUUUCAUUGUGUCACCCGACUUGACCUGUUAAGAAGUCAAAGGAGCAAGCACGCUCAUUUCCUGGCUCUUGAAAAGGAGUUUGGCUGGCUGUUUAUUCAUGUUAGCACUUUGGAAGUAAAACACAUGAAGAGAACAGUACAGUUAUGCUGAACAGUGUGUUGAGCGACUCAUUUUCCUCAAGCUUUCAAGGAGAAAUGCAUGUUCAAUAGGUGCUGGAUUCAUCCUUAAUUAAUGGCCACCUGAUUCACACCUGUUUUUCACCAAAUUGAUUACCUCACUGAUUGAAUGCCACACAGUAGUUUUUUAACACACCCCUUUCAAAAAAUUGCCCAAUUGCACUGUCAUGGCCCUGCCAUUCCAGCCCUGGCUGGGGGGGUCCCAGCAGACUGGCGCUAAUUAGGAGGCGCACACCUGCACCUCAUCCCCGCUGAUUAACUCCUCUUCUUAUAGGACCCUGGGGACGACUGGUCUUCACUAGAUCGUCGCCUCGCAUGCCUCGUUCCCGCACUUCCGCAUUCCUGACACCAACCCCCAGUGGACCGACCAACGCCUGUCUUCCGACCUACCCUGUAAGCCUGUCGCUACUGUUCCUGCUGUUUGUGCUGACUGACUCCCCAGUUACCGACUCUGGAACGAAUAAAGACCUUCUCCUUACUACUUGCCUGUCGCCCGAGUCAUGCAUUUGGGUCCGCCCACAAGUCCUGGUUAUGACAUGCACAGAAUCAUGAAUGCUGAGUCUUGUUGGUUUUCUGAGAAACUACUGUACCUACUGGUAACUUGUUUGACAUAUAGCAA